GGAUGAGCUCGCGGCCUAUCAGCUUGUUGGUGGGGCAAUGGCCUACCAAGGCGGCGACGGGUAGCCGGCCUGAGAGGGUGGACGGCCACAUUGGGACUGAGAUACGGCCCAGACUCCUACGGGAGGCAGCAGUGGGGAAUAUUGCACAAUGGGCGCAAGCCUGAUGCAGCGACGCCGCGUGGGGGAUGACGGCCUUCGGGUUGUAAACUCCUUUCGCUAGGGACGAAGCUUUUUGUGACGGUACCUAGAUAAGAAGCACCGGCUAACUACGUGCCAGCAGCCGCGGUAAUACGUAGGGUGCGAGCGUUGUCCGGAAUUACUGGGCGUAAAGGGCUCGUAGGUGGUUUGUCGCGUCGUCUGUGAAAUUCCGGGGCUUAACUCCGGGCGUGCAGGCGAUACGGGCAUAACUUGAGUACUGUAGGGGUAACUGGAAUUCCUGGUGUAGCGGUGAAAUGCGCAGAUAUCAGGAGGAACACCGAUGGCGAAGGC
rnacentral:rRNA from 1 species